rnacentral:rRNA from 1 species
UACAGAGGUCUCAAGCGUUGUUCGGAUUCAUUGGGCGUAAAGGGUGCGUAGGCGGCGCGGUAAGUCGGGUGUGAAAUCUCGGAGCUUAACUUCGAAACUGCAUUCGAUACUGCCGUGCUUGAGGACUGGAGAGGAGACUGGAAUUUACGGUGUAGCGGUGAAAUGCGUAGAUAUCGUAAGGAAGACCAGUGGCGAAGGCGGGUCUCUGGACAGUUCCUGACACUGAGACACGAGGGCCAGGGGAGCAAACGGG